rnacentral:misc_RNA from 1 species
AUCAUGCAAUACUCUACACUAAGCUAGAUAAAUGCUCUAGUUGAUCACACAGAACACUGAAAAGACAAUCCCAUAUGAAAAUCCAAAAACAAAUAAAUAAACAACUAGAGCUAGAUGAAUGUUCUAAUUGAUCACACUUUUUCAACUAGCUAGCUCAAAGAGCCAUGGAAAAUCAAAUACUAGAAUCAACCAAUCACAAAGCAAUAGAACAAUUGAUGCCACAUAUACUUGCAAGCCAACAAACGAAUAAGGUUGAGUUAUGAAAUUUCCAAACCAAACAGCAAGAAUAAUUCUCGACGGAAUGCAUUUUAGAAGUUAAACCAACACAUAGGAAUCAAAAAACAAUCUUUUACCAAACUCUUUAACUCCAAUCACUCGUCCUGAUUGAAAGUUUAGACAACUACAUUGAAAAAUGAAAAUUUUAGAAAUCAAAUGGACUUUAAUUAACUGAAUCACUCUCAAACUUGUCAAAUAAUUAUAUUCGUACAGUUUCUCAGAGAAAGCCACAACUACAAAAGAUUAUGAUAAUAUCAACUACAUGAUCAGGCUAAACCCCUCAAAUACGCACUCACCACAUUAAACCCACGCAUUCUAAACAAAAAUCCGGGUCAAUUAAUCAAAUUUCCAAUCCUCUAAUAAAAAGCAAUAACUUCAGCCCUCCCCUAAUCCUAUCUAAUCAAACACAAGAACACAAAUUACCAUCAACAUCAAGCAACCCUUCAAUCAAAUCAAUAAUCAUACAAAAAGAAAAGAAAUAAGCUUUAAGCUAAUCAAAUUGCAGAAAACAACACAUACUAAAGCGUAUCAGGGGGUCCAAUA